rnacentral:lncRNA from 1 species
AAUGAAGUUCUUGAUCGUAUGGUCUCAAGACUAAACGAAGAAAAUACGUUAGCAGCUGAAGUAGAACAAAACAGCUGGUUGCGUAAAAAACUCUCCUUUCACGCACUAUCUUCAACGGAUGUAAUGGAUUUCCCUGAAAUGACCAAAACUGAAUUAAAAAUAUUCUUCACAGGUACUUACCAAUAUAGUCAGGCAAUUUCAUAUUUGGCAGAAAUGAUGAGAAGAGACCGGAUCUAUAGAUAUGCAUGUUGUUUAAAGACAGAUCCAAUAUAUUAAAAGUUCAAGUUGCAUCACAUCACAUUUCAAGAAAAACAUAUCAUUGCUUCUUAAUGCGGCCACACAUGAUUUUUUUGUCGCCCGUUUUGCCUGAACGGUUUUAAAACGGAAGGUAAGACUG